AUCGUCGGUGAUGUUUGAAUACAGCCUAUAGUUCGAGUUUCAACGACUAUGAGAAGGCUUUUCAUGCACUACCAUCUGAGACGAA
ensembl:snoRNA SNORD33 Small nucleolar RNA Z195/SNORD33/SNORD32 family